rnacentral:sRNA from 1 species
CUCUGGGGUCGAGAGAGCUUCACAGACCAUUUGGGAAAGAGCCAAGCAAACACACUUCUGCAAGCCAUUUGCAUAAGUAGACAUAAUCCAUACGGAAUGAUGCACUGUUCGGUUGUAGUUUCAUUCGUCAGUGACCUGCAUCUGCCCGCCCAGUCUUGCCAUCCCUCCCUGCAGUUCCGCAGCCUCCGGCUUCCCCACCUCAGCUUGGCUGAGAGUUUCACGUUCAUCCAAGUGCUUCUUUACAGACUCACUCCCAGCUGGAGGAGGCAGAGGAUCCUGGCCAAUUUGGAGCAAGGCUUAGCAGAAGACGGCGGCAUAAGCAGCGUGACUCAGGAGGGCAGACAAGCCUCUGUCCGGCUGUGGAGGUCACGUCUGGGCCGGGUGAUGUACUCCAUGGCAAACUGUCUGCUC